rnacentral:rRNA from 1 species
GAGGAGUCUGCGUCCUAUCAGCUAGUUGGUGGGGUAAUAGCCUACCAAGGCGAUGACGGGUAGCUGGACUGAGAGGUCGAUCAGCCACGACUGCACUUAGACACGGGCAGUACACCUACGGGUGGCAGCAACCAGGAAUAUUGGGCAAUGGGGGAAACCCUGACCCAGCGACGCCGCGUGGAGGAUGACAGCCCUCGGGUUGUAAACUCCUUUUAAUAGACCCUUCACGGUCUAUAGAAUAAGCCUCUACUAACUACGUGCCAGAAGUCUCGGUAAUACGUAGGAGGCAAGCGUUAUCCGGAUUUAUUGGGCGUAAAGUGUGCGUAGGCGCCUUAAAAAGUCGUAUCUUAAAUACCAAGGCUUAACCUUGGAACUGGAUACGAUACUUUUAAGGUUGAGGAUUGUUAGGGAUGUCGGAACAGCUAGUGUAGCAGUGAAAUGCGUUGAUAUUAGCUGGAACACCAAAGGCGAAGGCAGACAUCUGGGAUUUUCCUGACGCUGAGGCACGAAAGCUAGGGUAGCGAAACAGAUUAGAU